GUCUGCAGCUAUACCACCCUGAGUGUACCUGCUCUAGUCUGAUCUCAGAAGCUAAGUAGGGUAAGGUCUGCUUCAUACUUGGAUGGGGGUCUUUUCUGAGAUUAGUGAUUUUAUGCAUCUG
rfam:Mus musculus chromosome 5, GRC primary reference assembly.